rnacentral:misc_RNA from 1 species
UUUCCGUAGGUGAACCUGCGGAAGGAUCAUUAAAGUUAUAGUCCCCCGGCCCUCUAGGCUGGGGUCUUCUAUACCACCCUUUGUUUAUUACACCUUUGUUGCUUUGGCAGGCCUGCCCUCGGGCUGCUGGCUCCGGCCGGCUCGCGUCUGCCAGAGGACCUAAACUCUGUUUGUAUAUGAAGUCUGAGUACUAUAUAAUAGUUAAAACUUUCAACAACGGAUCUCUUGGUUCUG